AGUCCAGGCGAGGCGGGCUGAGCGGUCUUUCCGCCGGAGCCAGAGAAGCAGCAGUUUACUGCGGGGAACUGUGUCCUCGAACAUGCCGAAAACUCCGAAUUCAGACCUUCACUGUGUGAGAUGGGUUGAUGAACGAAGGAGUGCUGGUGAGGAGGAGCACGUGGUUGGUGGGGGUUGAGACCAGUAUUGAUUUCUGGACAAUGAUGUAACUAUACAGCAGUGAUUUUAGAGAUCGCUGAAAUGGUGGUGCAGCAUGGCUUUGCCCAGGUGGUGCUGAUUGAUCUAAUUAAAUUGGGUCAGAUCAGGUGUUGAAGGAACUUCUGUUCUGCACUGGGUUUAGCAUGAGAAAUGCUGGAGACAAGACUGGAAGGAUCAGGAUGCAUCUUUAUACUAUAAUGAAACGUUUGGAGUGCUGGUCAGUUAGGCUGUGUAAUAUGCACCGUUAAGCAGUCUGUUGCUUUAAUGCCUUAAUUGUCAAGUUUCAUUUACUUCAGUGUAAUGACAACUGGUCAUUUGGAUGAAAUAAAAUUUUAUGAUUUACUACCUGAAGCUGUAAUGUCAAAUUUUCAAUAAAGUGUUUUUGUAAAUGUA